CCUACGGGUGGCAGCAGUGAGGAAUAUUGGUCAAUGGACGCAAGUCUGAACCAGCCAUGCCGCGUGCAGGAAGACGGCUCUAUGAGUUGUAAACUGCUUUUGUACGAGGGUAAACGCAGAUACGCGUAUCUGUCUGAAAGUAUCGUACGAAUAAGGAUCGGCUAACUUCGUGCCAGCAGCCGCGGUAAUACGGAGGAUUCAAGCGUUAUCCGGAUUUAUUGGGUUUAAAGGGUGCGUAGGCGGUCGGAUAAGUUAGAGGUGAAAGCCCGAGGCUCAACUUCGGAAUUGCCUCUGAUACUGUUGGGCUAGAGAGUAGGUGCGGAAGGCGGAAUGUAUGGUGUAGCGGUGAAAUGCUUAGAGAUCAUACAGAACACCGAUUGCGAAGGCAGCUUACCAAGCUACUUCUGACGUUGAGGCACGAAAGCGUGGGGAGCAAACAGGAUUAGAUACCCGGGUAGUC
rnacentral:rRNA from 1 species